rnacentral:rRNA from 1 species
ACUCAAAGGAAUUGACGGGGGCCCGCACAAGCGGUGGAUCAUGUGGUUUAAUUCGAAGCAACGCGAAGAACCUUACCUGGGUUUGACAUCCCACGAAGACUGCAGAGAUGUAGUUGGCCCGCAAGGGACGUGGAGACAGGUGCUGCAUGGCUGUCGUCAGCUCGUGUUGUGAAAUGUUGGGUUAAGUCCCGCAACGAGCGCAACCCUUGCCUUUGGUUGCCAUCAUUCAGUUGGGCACUCCAGAGGGACUGCCGUCGUCAAGACGGAGGAAGGUGGGGAUGACGUCAAGUCCUCAUGGCCUUUAUAUCCAGGGCGACACACGUGAUACAAUGGUAGGUACAAAGGGCAGCCAAGUGGUGACACGGAGCAAAUCCCAAAAAGCCUAUCUCAGUUCGGAUUGGAGUCUGCAACUCGACUCCAUGAAGUUGGAAUCGCUAGUAAUCGCGGAUCAGCACGCCGCGGUGAAUACGUUCCCGGGCCUUGUACACACCGCCCGU